rnacentral:misc_RNA from 1 species
UUAUAGCAAAAAUAUAAGCAAUUGCAUUAUAAUGUACACAAUUUACAAAAUGUGCAAGUACAGUGUAGAGUAUAAAUGAAUAUUUACAACAAGAAGAAAGCAAAAAGGGCAAUUCUUGCUGGUUCUCUUGGGAAAGGAGGGUGACAGCUUGAGGAUGGUGGAGAUAAAAGAAUGCCGAUAAAUAGAUGGGAUUUUAACAAAAGAGGGCAGCUUGAAUUAGUCUAAAAGCUAGUCUAAAGUUGAUUCCCCCCAAGCAAUUCAUAAGAAUGCUCCUCUUUCCAUAUGAUAUUGCUCUUAUGUAGAAGAUGUCCACAGCCCCAUCCGCGUACCCUUCCCUGUUCAAUUACAGACAGCAACAUCAGCAACAACUCUUCUGCAUCUUUCUUGGAUGCCAGUUCCAAAUUUGUCUGGAACAGUGGGAGACGAGUUGAAGGAAUACUCCAGUGCUUUGUCCUUGUUCCACCACCUUUUUUGGACUGGUGCUGGUUCUGCCUCAGCCUUGCAUCUGAACUGCUUCCAACAAUAUGCACCACCCCCUCCUCAGUAUCUGCAUGGAUUACACUGUCCAAACCAAUUUCUGACUCUACUAACCACUCUGGGUCAAUUGGAACACCUCGAAACUCGGGCUUCUCCAAGUCUACCAAACUGGGAGAGCAUACUAUCAACAUGAGCCUCUCUGUGACCACAAUAAACUUACCAGCUUGUUUAAGUGAUUUGCACAUCACAAAUACUUCAUCUUUUAACUUCAAGCCAUCAUCAGCCUCCAUAAGAACUGAUGUUCCGACAGCCUCUUCCAAGGAGUAAGGCCUUAGAGGAUGUUCUCUACUUAGAGGCCUUGGAAGCCGGGCUCUAUAGCGUUGAGAUCCACUUUGGUGUAGUUUACUUAUGCUUCUGAUACUCUGUGCAGUUUUUCCUGUAACCUCAAGAAUACUAGCUGCUGGUCUUGCCACAAGUCCCGUAACUCCUAAAGCUAUUCCUGAGAGGACACCAGGAAGACCAUGUUUCUCAGCUUCUUUAAUUGGUGACUGAAGGAGACCCGUGAGUCCCUCUAAGACUUCAUUUAUUACACCUUUACUGUGUGAAGCUACACCUUUUUGUUGCUUUUCCAUCGUUCCAACAGACAGGUCAUCAAAUGUAAAUGCAACAAUACCCUUGUGUGCAGCCUUACUGAACUGGGUGGCAGCAUCACUUAAAGCAUAAACUGUGUUACUCAGAAGACUAGUGGUACCUUGUGCCAUGCCUGUAAUAAGUCCAGUAGGGCUCUGUAAAACGCUUCUGGCAGGAACAGAUAAAAAAUCUCUAAUGCCAAGUCCCAAACUCCUUGCAAAUCCCAUAGGAUUACCUAUAACACCAGCAGAACCAAAGACCUUGUACAUCUCAUGAAGAAGCUGACGAGUGUAAUGCCUAAGGAGGAUAUCCUGCAUGGACUCCCAACUAGUCAUCUGAUGUGCAAUUGUCAAUUGUUUGAGAUGAAUUCGAGCUCCCUCAACAUCAGCAAGAGCCAUUAGACCUCUAUGGAUAAUUGAUUCUCCCGAUGUAAGAACACCAUUUCUAAGUAUCCAUGGAGCACUAGAAAAGCUCAAAGUGAAUUUGAUGGGUGCCAAAUCAAACAAUUCUACAUAGAUCUUUUUCUGUCUUCUAGCCAAAAGAUAAAUUUGUUGCCAAGGGGCUCCAAUUGGGACCAUUGAAGGUAGAGAUGAACUGCUCAUUAUACUCUUACUGAAUUCAGGAAAACUGAAUCCAUGCAGUUGCUCUUCUCUUGUUUUGACAUAUUCGCAAGUCUGGGUAUGUGCAAAACCCACAUCAUACAUAGGAGAAUAGCACACAUCAUCUGAAAUUGGCAAUGCUUUGCCUAGGAAUCUUGAAGAGAGAGAUUUAAAGAAGGCUAGCAAGUUUAAUAUGAGUUCCUGGUCAAGCUCAAGGCGAAAAUCUGCCACUCUUAAGCUGAUAUACUCAAAUGAAACCAAUGAUAUGUCUUUCUUUCUCCAUGUUGCUAUGGCUAGGUAGACCACAGGUUCACAAUAACUUUCAGUAGAAAUUUGCCACACUCUUUCGCUUUUUAAUUUUGCAACGUCAUCCUUGGCUCUCUGGCUGGCUGCAUUGCUUCUAUAUUCUUGAUUAAAGGACAGGAUAACAGGGUAUGGUGUUGUGCGCAACUGGUUAUCAAUUUGUAAUGUAGAGAUUUGAAAGGAAAGCCUUUGUUGGUCCACACUCUGAAUCAGAUUAAGAGUGAUAUCCUUUGCACAUGCAAAAAGCAAUUCCUGUGGAUGACCAUUAACCAAGGAGAUACCAAUGCAUGAAAUAGCUAGAGAAAAUUUCUCCUGAUAAUCAACGAAGUUUUGCUCUUGUUGCUCAUAUUUACUUGUUACUUGAAAUGAAGAGGGAGAUGGGUCUUUCAAAACAUGGUAACCUGAAUCAACAAUGCUGAACACCUUAAUUGCUCCCUCGGCAUGGAUAGAGAAAAGCAAUGUUCUUUCAGGUUUCUCAGAAGUUGGUUUCAAGUGUACAGGUACAUACUCUCUUAGCUCAUCAAGAGCAUACACCCCAAUGGCACGCUCUCCAGGCACCUCUACAGUCAGACGAUGUGGAUAACAGGGUUCAUCCCAUGCAUAAGGGCAAGAAGUGUAUGGGUGAACGAUAGUAUCAAAAGUUUCACACCUUUGCUGGUAAAUCCGUAAUCUCUCCUUUGUGAAAUUAUCAAUUCUGUAUGGCAUAAACCCAGUGUCGUCAUCUGAUAAGAGAAUCAAAUACGUCCCUGAAUUUCCAUGGAGGCUUCCAACAAUCUUUUCAUCUCUAAUGGAAACAUCAGCAUUCUGUACCUCCACCCUUAUCAUAUUUAAUGAACCAGAGAUAAAAUUCCUCAUUUUCAAUUGUGUAUCACCUAGGUGAUCUGGCAAGAAGCUGCCUGACCAUUGCCAACCGGGUUCAUUAAAAUGAAUGGAUACCAGUAAAUCCCUCAUUGUGUCUGUCCAGUGAAGAUGAGAAUGCUUUCCAAUGCCCAAAUGAACAAAACGGUCUGUUCCUUUCUGCUUAUAACACAAAUCUCUUCUGCAUGCGUUACUAAUUACAUAUCUGGGCUGGAAAGUGAUGGCUUGUGUCCUCCCAGUAAAUGGCUCAGCAAGAGCACUUGAGGUCACAGAUAUGAUAAAUGCAGCAUUUGGUGAUAAGUGAGGAACAAGUACAGUCCUUGAUCUGCUAGGUGAAAGAAGAAGAAAAGGUUCUGACCAUGAAGAAUUUGACUCUUUUUCCUCAUGUUCAGGAAGGCAUCUCCUUAUUCUGACCAUAACUUCACCCAAAGAAGAAAUAAAACAAGGAGAAUACAUGCAUGCUUUAACCUUUCCACGCUCAGCAUCAACAAGGUCAGAAUCUUUUGGAGUUGGUUUACUAGUUGAGCACAUAUUAGAGGAAGAUUUUUUACCAACUAAAUCAGGAUUGUCUGAUUGCCUGAAGAAUGAGGAACCACGUAAAACUGCAGGCUUGUACAUAAAUUUCCUCAAAUGUGGAUUAGCAUUCAUCCCAGCCAUGAUAAAGUGAUUUUCCAUGAAAGAAUUUCCUAGGCCAUCAAUUAGUGGAGCUGUUGCAUAUGAAUCUUGGUCAGAAGAUAGAAGGCUAAGACCAUCUUUCUUCUCUUGAAGAAGUUCUUGUUCAAUUAAGUAACUGGAUGGGAUAGCAUAGAAAUUUCCUUUCAUUUCCGAGGCAGAUUCCGUGAUAUGGAAUGGAAGACCAGUACAAUUAUAUAACAAGAAGGGAGCAAAAACGAAGAUCUCUCGUGCACCAGAGAAUGCAUCCAUGAUCAAUUCCACAUUAAUAUAUAGUGGCCCAUUAGAUAAUUCAGGAUUGAAGAUCAUGGUCUCUGUUAAAGAGAACUUGGUUCCACUAAACUUAGCCAUCGCACUGAAAGUUUCUGUCCGUGGAAACUUCAAAGGUGAAGGUCUGUAACCUUGCACAUAGAACUCCAGACUCAGGUCAUGUGAAGGAUCAACAUGAUGAAAGGAAGUUUCUACCUCUGAAAGCAAUGCGGUACGAGAAACCCCACCACUCUCAAUGGUCAGUGAUACUGCAUCUGGGAGGUAGCUGUUCACUAUUAACGGAGUACUUAAGGUGAUCUGAUGAAUGCAUUGUUUCUUUGACUGCUUCCAACCAUAAGUGCAACUUUGAACUGAUUGAUUUGUAGUGUUAUUAACAUUGGAAGAUGAACCUUUCUUUGGCUUGCUAGAUGAAGGCAUGCAAAAAUUUUGAACAGAUAUGCAACACCGGAAUGGAUCACUGCUUGGAUGAGAUGGAUAACAAACAAAAGAUCUAAGAAAUCCAAUCUUGAUUUCCUGAGAAAGAAUAUUUGAGAGGUCAUGAACUUCACUCCACAAGUAAGAAUUUCCAAGUGGACGCCACCUCAAACGACCCGCUUCAGCCAAAUGCAAAGGCAGUGGAACCUCUUGUCCAGGAUAUAUAGGAUCCAGGAUCUAAAAUAAAAAAAAUAAACACUAGGAAGAGAUAUCUAAAGUUGCAAUUAGUAAGCAAAAUUUGUUUUGUUCAUACCUUUGGAGAUAGUCCAAAUGGAAUAUCAAACCUUAACUCUAGUGUCAUUGAUGUUGCAUUUGAAAGUAUUACCUAAAUCAUGAAAAUUAUGGCCCACAUAAUGAAAAGAAGAUUAAUGACUAAUAAGUAUCAAAAGCUCCAACAAACACCAAACAUAAAAACACCAUACAUACUGUUGAGUACAAUCGUAUUAACUUGCUGUAUCGCUGCACUGAAACAUCAAACACAACAGGAACAUGAAAACCAUUGUUGGUACUGGAUCUAACAUUCUCCCCGAUGUUUAUAUUGUAUCUUGAAACAUCCCCAAAUUUCUCAAUUUCAAUUUUAUUUGAAGCCUUAGAAAAAUCAACCUCAAAACAAGUGAGUCCUACAAGAUCCAUUGAAAUAGGAGCAGAAGGCAUAUGCAUGCCAUCGAGUUGAAUGCUCAUAAAAUGAUGAACAACUCCAUUUGAUUGCUUCUCACUGAGCCUAUCAGAAGACUUAGUAGGCCUGAAUCGGAACAAUUGCUCCUCAGGACUUUCAUUGAGAUAAAUAGGAACAGAAGCACCUGGUUCCACAGCCUUUCCAUCCCCAAAUUCUGAGAAAUUAAUCUCUUCAACAUUAACCUGUCCUUGAAAAACAUGGUAUGCUAAAGGCAAAGAAGUCAAGUUUUGAAGUAUAUAAGGAGCAUAUUUUCCUCCAGUUAAAGUUUCUGGAAACUGACAACUUGAGAAUCUCUGAAUUUCACAAGGAUCAGACGGUUCCAUCAGAUGCCAAGCAUCCUUAACCAUUUCAACUGUCCUGAAAACACACUCAAUAAGAGAUUCUGUUAAGUUCAAGUUAAGUGGCGCUGUUGAUGUGAGAUAAAUAUCUGUUAUGAUAGAACUGUUCAGGAGAGUGCUCAUCUUGUGUCUUCUAAUCAUGUUUAUCUGAAACUUCCAAGGCUCAAUAAAUGGCUCCCAAAGUACCUUGUGAAUAUUAUUAUAGUUCACUUCAAGGUCACUUGUCACUGAGCUUUCCACAUCAUUUUCAGUCAUGAUAGCAUGUAACAGGAUGUUCCUCAUAAGAAUUUCCAACAGAGGUCCACCACAGCUCCACCUUUCAUCAGAUAUCAGAAGUGAAACUUUCCUUAGCUGGAUGUUGAAAUCCAUACUUGCAAAUGAAUAUUGAGAAUUUCCAGCUUCAGGAAUGUCAAAACGUACACCAUACCAGAAGCAGAGUACUUGAUGGGAAAGCCACACAUCUAAAUGAUUAACUUGAACCCCAAGUUUGACAUUGACAGGGUCCAACUGAUUAUGACAAAUAUCAGUCGUAAUGCUAAUUUGGGAUAUUUGGAAUAAAGGCCAAGUCGUAAUGCCCUUGUCCUUGCAUAUCUCUACAGUGCCACUUGUUGUCUCCAAAAUAGAUUUCAAUUUCGCAUUUCUACCUACCAUGGAUAGUUCACUACUACUACUAUGCGUAGUAAGUAUCAUGAAUUUGUAAAUUUUCCCUUCAGUAACAGAUGAAGAAACAUUUUGAGGCCUCUCCUCUUGGACUUCAGAUGUCCCUAAUUCCCCAUGUGCAGCUUCCAUGGCCCAGAAAGGAAAAUGAAUUGUAAGGCCAAUACUUUGUGACCUAACAUUAAGGGCAACCAAAUCCCUCUUUAUGUGCUCCUUCACACGAGAAGUUGAACUUUUAUUUAAAAGAUAACUAUGAGGAGCAGUAAGUGCCACAUAUUCAGUGAGAUCAGCCAUGUCUUUAGAAGAACUUUUUGAUGAUGCCUCCAUUGCUACAGUUUCAGCCAUUGUUUUAGAAAAGGAAUUGUAAAGAUCAAUGACUGCAGACCAGUCUGAAACAUGUAGCCAAAUAGCCAGAGAAGGAAGAGAAAUCUGAAACUCAUUGUCACCUCUAGUUGACUUCGAGAAACAUACCUGAAGAGCCGAGGCUGAGCAAGUAUCAGUGCAUUGUGCCAUCAUGACAGAAUUACGCAAUGAAUACAGAGCUAAAGAGGAAAAAGUCAUGUCCAAGUCUAUAGGUGUCUCAUUUAUCAAAGAUAUAGAGCAUAUAAAUCGCAUAUCAGUCUUGGCUAUUGGUUGUGACAAAAAUGAGUCCUUUCUUGAUUGAUACAAACUUAUUGACAAUGAAUCAGUACAGAGUCGAGCCUCAGUAAAAACUGUGCCUGAGGCAACAGUUGGAACUGCACCAUUUUCCUUCAGACUUCUCUUCAACUGAAAAAAGUGUAAAACAUCAGAGGUGAAACAUUUGGAUUCAUUGUCAAUUGAAGAGAACUGAUUUAUGACAUCCAUUAGUGCCUCAAAUCCAUCCAAAGUGUAGCAGUCAUCAGCAAUAAGUUGACAGUUGGCAAUCCUUGACAUGACACAUGUGGAAGCAAAGGACCUAUCAAGGCGGGAUUCACUUUCACAGGGCAGUCUAACCCAAACAUCAGCACUAAGUGGUGCAAUUAGUAUUACAUUGCCACAUCCUGUAUCUUCGUCGAGUAUUAAGCAACCAUAUUCAUCAUCCUUACACAACAGGAGUGAUAGAAUUAAAUCCCUUCCAAAUAUGUUCAAACAGUGAUUUGCUUUGGCAACUUUAUGUGCUAGAACCUUGCACUCAGGGGGAAUAUCCUUCAAUACAUCAUUUGUAGAGCAUUCAAGGAUUAAACUACAAUACAGCUGGUGAAGUUCUAUCUUUAGAUAUUGAUGCUCAUCUCGUUCUACCGGCAAAAUCAAAGUGGACUCCAGAAUCUCAAACUUAUAAACGACCAGGCUCCCUUUUUCUGUUGCAACAGAAUCACGAUUUUCAGCAACCGGCUGCUCACUCAAAUUUGGGAUCCAAUCAGAUAAUAAAAAAUAACCUAUUAGGAUGGCCAGAUACUCAGGUGGUAGAAAGCAGCAUACAUGCUGAACACCAAUGCUUACUUCAAGUUGAGAGGUCACUGAUAAAGCAUGUCCUUUUCUCACACGUAAAUUUAAGAUAGAAGAAAGAUUUGGUAAUGAGGGGCCCCAAAGAAAAUCUUUGAAAUUUUUAGUCCACCACGGUGAUGUGAGUAUCAAUCCCUCUAUGGAACACAACAAAUCCAUGUAGUUAUCAUAAAUUAGAAGUGAUGAUUUAGAGUUUGGUAUUGUAACAGUUCCAACAACACAAGAGGAAUCAUGGAAAUGCACUCUGACUCCACAGAGAUUUAUAUCAAAAUUAAAAAUAUUUGUCUCACAUAAACUUCCUGGUGCAGGAAAUGUAUCCAUUCCAGAUGUAUGAAUCACUGGUGAGGCAUGAAAGGUUCUAGAUUCCUUCUUCAUAUUGCAUUUUGGACUUCUGAGUUUUCUAUCUUUUAGCUUAAAAUAUUUCUUCCAGUCAGGAAUGGAAUGAUGAAGUGAACUCUCAAGGCUACCAAGAGAACCAGAAUUGGAGAUUGUAAUGAAGGGAUAGCAGUCCAAAGAAAUGCUAGCAUGGUCAGAGGACCCACCUUCAGAGAAAUUAGAGUAACCAAACCUUCGAAACUGAAAAUCAGGCCUUUUAUUUGUAUUUUUACCAUCCAUCCCAGAGCUACAGGAUUUCUCAUAUGCAUAAGAUACACCAUAUGUCGAUAAUCUUUCAUAAAACCCAAUUAAGAGGCCAAAUAUAUGGGGAUAGCAAUGGAGAUCAGCAUCAUUUAAGCCAAUUGCAAACUUGUGGGAAACAAAGUCUACACUUCUGUGAGCCUCAUAAUGCAUAAGACAGAAUGCUUCAAUAAGUCCAUUGUCGUCACUAGGAUUUCCAUCUUGAUUGCUAUUUCCAACAUGCAAGUCUUGAUGCUUUGCAGCACCAGAAGCAAAAUGAUUGCCAGAUGAGAACAGAGUACAACCAUCAUUUUCAUUUCUUAAUGGGGAAGUUGUGACCUUUAAUGCUUUGGUACAGAUGAAACACUCAUCAAAUUCUGUAUGAGAGUACCAAAUAUCUAAUUCUUUAAGGAGAAGCACAAGCUUAGAACUACUUUCUCGAUCAUUUGCAAGGUCAACACGGAAACCCAGAGACUCCAACUUUGCAUUAAUAGAGAAACCAAAAAUAGAAGCCCAAGGUUGAUUUGACAUGGCAUUAACUGCAAAGGGAUUUUUGGGUAUCAAAGAUCUAGUUGUCGAAUGCAGCAUGUGUAGAUGCACUACCAAUGCCAUUAUUGAUUCAUAUAUUGGGGGAGAAAAUUCAGCAAUAAGUGACGGUACAAUGAUGGAAACCUCCAACUUUUUCAAUAUUGAUUCAUCAGAAAUGAUGCAUGAUGCAAAGGUGAUCACAGCACAAAAUUGCUCCAAGAUAGUGACUGUUUGAGCAUGUUGAGGCAUCACUAACUUUAGCUCAAAAUUUUCAAGUUCAACAGCAAAGUAAUUAUAAAGAUCUUGAACUAGGAAGUCUCUCAAAAAAUUAAUGGUGAAUGUUGAGCUUGAGAACUGCUUCAGGAUAUUAGAUUGUUCCUGAGUAGUGGAAGUAACAGACCCCACAUCAUAUUUGGAUGCAUAAAGAAGAGAUCCCAUCUCCAAAACCAAGUUACAUUGUUCUGAAAUGGCAGUUCUCCCAGGAACAUUAAUAAUUAUAUUCAAGAUGCUAAUUUCCCAACUUAGUUUUUUAUGACUUGAUAGUGCAUACUCAGCUUUUGAUAAUAAACGAGUCUUGGCAUCUUUAAACCCAUUUAAUGACCAAAGGACCCUUUUGCUCUGAAAUUCAAAGCAUUGUAGUGCAGUGAAAAACUCCAGCAAUUUUAGACAAAAUUCCACAUCACAAUUAACUUCAAGUGGUUGGAGCAUGACCUUCACUGAUAAUUCAACCUCUUGUUUUGGUAACACAUCCACUUGGACUGUACAAGAAGUUGGCCUAUCUUCCUGUUCUGUAAGAGACUGCAGAUAAACAAGAUUAAAAUGAUAUCUUCUAUAUUGAUUGGAACAUAAGUAAAUAUUGAGAAAAAUUACAGGAAAUGCUGUUCAUCAGCCAACUCAAGAACUAGUCAAAGAAUAGCUUCAGUGCAUCUUACCUUAGAAACAAAAUUAUACACAGGAAUGAAGAGUUUCCCCAGUAUAUAUAAGGAAAUAUAUUACUUGUUUCAUAGUUUUGGACAUCACAUACUCUACGAUGAUGGUUAAUUUCCUAAACAACCAAGUAAUAAAAGUACUAUUAUAUCAGAUCAUCAGGGAUGCAAUAUACUGCAUCCUAACUCCUAAGACCAUUUCUUUCCCUCAAACUUCAGAAGAAAAAACGACAAAUAUUCAUACACUUGGAACAUAUAUAGCUGACGUAUAAGAAUACAAACCCUUCCUAUUUGUAGGAUGACCAUCUCAUUAAAUGGAUAAACCAUUUUUCCUGACUUAAUGAAGCAAAUUACUGCCGCUAACUCUUCCCAAAGUUUGCACUCUAUAACUGCAUCUCUAAAAAAGAAGUCAGCAAUUCUUUCACUGGAAUACUUGCUAUGCAGAGUUGCAGCAAUUUGACCCACGCUUAACUUCAUUGCACACGUAAACAUCUUACCACUUGCAUUGACAUCACCACCGGAUAAUACAGAUGGAUGGAACUCUGUAGCUUCAUAAAUAUCCUUUACGACUUCAUCAGAGACAACACCAGAGAACUGACUAGAAUCAUCUGUUCCACCAGCACCAAGCAUUCCUCGGGACAGCCAAUUCAACCAUCCUCUGGACCUGCCUGACAUCUGUUCAUCAUUUCGUGACUUCUCAACAGAAAUAUUGGCACCAUUCACUCCCAUAUUUGAAGAUGAAGAGCUUGACAUAACUUCCUGCAGCUCAUGUUCUGCAGCAGCUCUAUAACUUAAGAUAUCAUCUAUAUCCGAUUCUUUCUCCAUAAGCUCCAAUUCCCCAAGAAUAUAUUCAUCAAUUGACUGUUCUCUUUGAAGAAAAUCUAGUUUAAUCUUGUACAAAUUGACAUACUUUCGACGAGAAUUCAGUCGCUGUCCUAAGUAUCUCCAUGAGGUUUUCUUCAACUUCCUGCGGACAUCUGACAGGAUAGAUUCUUGUGCAUAGUGCCACCAUAAUACUUGCCAACCACUGUGCUUUCUUGCUAAGGAAUGGCCCCAUGGACGGUAACGUCCAUACUUUUCCCUUAAACGGCUAAUGGUUAUGUAAUCAGAUAGAAUCAGUAUUUGUUGCAACUGAACCUCAUUUAAUGAAAUGGCCAGGCCAGUUAUCUCUGCUUUGAUUGAAUAUUGUGCCAAAUCACUGUCAAUCCUUCCUGCUCUGUUAACCACAAGUGACACUGUUACAUCAAAUGGCUGCAAUAAGUGGUCAACCGUAUUGCCAUCAGAUCUUUCAUAUCCGGAAUUUGCAGUGUUAUCCAAACUUGUUGAGUCAACAGCUCCUUUGGAUGUGGUACAAUAAAUUUCCAAAGCUUCAACAUCGACUGUUUUGUUUACUUGGCCCCUUACCACCUUCCCACCUAAUGAUCCAACCAAAUUUUGCUUUAUUGUCAAGCUGGAAAACUUCAAACCAAACAGAACCUGCGACGAGUCAAGCUGAAUUUCAUUGUAUUGGAUGUGGAAAUUUCUAAUUGACAGUUGUAUACUGUCAAGAACCUUUGCAGUAAUGUAUGAAAUAAAUGACUUCCCAGCUUGAUUAUCGCAAACUCGUCUUGACAGUUUUGCAAGCUCUGCUGCAGCAAGCUUAGCCUUUUUGCCAGCAAAUUCUCUUCUUUCAGCUGCCUCCACACUCCACUCAUGGUCAUCCCGCUGGGAAGCACAAAUGAACACGUCUUCUAAAGCAAUAAUAAUGGGCUGAUCCCAACCGAGCUUUUUCCAUGAAAUUUUGAUGCUUAGCUUCCCAAUCCUACCUUGCUUUAAAGCAAAUGGCAAUUGAAGAUAAUCAAAGGCUUCAGGAAUUAGUUCUACAUUCUCCAAAAAUACUUCUUCAUUCCAAAGACUGAGCUUGAGGUGGUCCUUUUGUAUAUUUUUCACAUAACUACCGAGAUAACCCACCAGCACCCGAUGAACGAGUCCUUCAAACAUUUUAUUCUCCUUCUCCUUUUUAUCUUUUUCACCGCCUUUUUAUGGAGCAUUAAUUAUAACAUUCAAUCACUUAUAAUGUAGAAAUAGAUGGUCUAUUGUGCGUGCUGUCCGCGAGAGACUGUGGGAUGCGAUGGGGGAGAGCAAAG